rnacentral:rRNA from 1 species
UGAGGAAUAUUGCGCAAUGGGGGCAACCCUGACGCAGCAACGCCGCGUGAGUGAGGAAGGUUUUCGGACCGUAAAGCUCUGUCGAGCGGGAAGAAAUGCAUGGUGGCUAAUAUCCAUCAUGCUUGACGGUACCGCUAAAGGAAGCACCGGCUAACUCCGUGCCAGCAGCCGCGGUAAUACGGGGGGUGCGAGCGUUGUUCGGAAUUAUUGGGCGUAAAGAGCGUGUAGGCGGCCGAAUAAGUCAGAUGUGAAAUCCCUGGGCUUAACCCAGGACGUGCAUUUGAAACUAUUCGGCUGGAGUAGGGGAGAGGAAAGUGGAAUUCCUGGUGUAGAGGUGAAAUUCGUAGAUAUCAGGAGGAACACCGGUGGUGAAGGCGACUUUCUGGUCCUAUACUGACGCUGAGACGCGAGAGCGUGGGUAGCAAACAG